GAUGAAGAACGCAGCGAAAUGCGAUAACUAAUGUGAAUUGCAGAAUUCCGUGAAUCAUCGAGUCUUUGAACGCACAUUGCGCCCCCUGGUAUUCUGGGGGGCAUGCCUGUCCGAGCGUCAUUACAACCCUCAAGCCCGGCUUGUGUAAUGGGCGGCCGUCUCUCCCCCCGGGGGGAGACGCCCCCGAAACUCAGUGGGGAUGUCGCGAUACCGAAGCCUCAGCUAAUGGGUAAACCACAGCUGCAAUGGCCGCGGCCGGCGUCCGCCUUCCACGGUCCGUCCGCCUAGCGCGGGCGGCCUUCUCAAGGUUGACCUCGGAUCAGGUAGGGAUACCCGCUGAACUUAAGCAUAUCAAUAAGCGGAGGA
rnacentral:misc_RNA from 1 species